CUGAGAAAUAUUAGCCAGCCUCAGAAAAAGUCUGCUCCAGGGCAAGACUUUACAAGUUGCUUUUAUUUUAUAUCAUCUGUACUCGCUUCUACAUUGAGCUUCUCAGGGUUUCACCAAGUUCCUUUGCUGCUAAGACCCCGUAAGAGUCAAGGCCUUCUGCAAAGAUAUUCCUCUGAGAAGCUCAGUAAC
rnacentral:lncRNA from 1 species